UACGGAGGAUGCAAGCGUUAUCAGGAUUUAUUGGGUUUAAAGGGUGCGCAGGUUGUUUGAUAAGUCAGUGGUGAAAGUCUGUCGCUUAACGGUAGGAUUGCCAUUGAUACUGUUGGACUUGAAUAUGGAUGAGGUAGGCGGAAUGUGUAGUGUAGCGGUGAAAUGCAUAGAUAUUACACAGAACACCGAUUGCGAAGGCAGCUUACUAAUCCAUCAUUGACGCUGAGGCACGAAAGCGUGGGGAUCAAA
rnacentral:rRNA from 1 species